UACAGAGGUCCCGAGCGUUGUUCGGAUUCACUGGGCGUAAAGGGCGUGUAGGCGGUCCGCUAAGUCUGAUGUGAAAGCCCGGGGCUCACCCCCGGAAGGGCAUUGGAAACUGGCGGACUGGAGUGUGGCAGAGGGGGGUGGAAUUCCGCGUGUAGCAGUGAAAUGCGUAGAGAUGCGGAGGAACACCGAUGGCGAAGGCAGCCCCCUGGGCCAACACUGACGCUCAGGCACGAAAGCGUGGGGAGCAAACAGG
rnacentral:rRNA from 1 species